GAUGAACGCUGGCGGCGUGCCUAAUACAUGCAAGUCGAGCGAACGGACGAGGAGUUUGCUUCGCUGAAGUUAGCGACGGGCGGGUGAUUAAUACGUGGAUAACCGACAUAUAGGACUGGGAUAAGUUCGGGGAACCUGAGAUCACAUAGGAUAAUAUUUUGAAACGCAUGGAUCAUAAGAGAAAGAGCGACUAGCUGACCCUAAUAGGUGGUACCGCGCUGCAUUAGCUAGUUGGUAAGGUAACGGCUUACCAAGGCUACGAUGCGUAGCCGACCUGAGAGGGUGAUCGGCCACACUGGAACUGAGACACGGUCCAGACUCCUACGGGAGGCAGCAGUAGGGAAUCUUCGGCAAUGGGCGAAAGCCUGACGGAGCAACGCCGCGUGAGUGAUGAAGGUCUUCGGAUCGUAAAACUCUGUUAUUAGGGAAGAACAGAUGUGUAAGUAACUGUGCACAUCUUGACGGUACCUAAUCAGAAAGCCACGGCUAACUACGUG
rnacentral:rRNA from 1 species